AAAAAUUAUAUAAAUACUGUUCGGCUUCUCGCACAAACCGAUCGUUUCGUUUCUUAGGAUAUCAAUGUGUCGUCACGAGCGGCAGGGUUUAAUUUGGAUUUGUCUGUGCAUGUUUUUACUGUCUGAGAUUUUGUUACUAUUCACAUGCAUACAGACUGAAACGGUUGGAGUUUUUACAUUUGUGUUGUACUGAAGAAACAAAAUCACAUACAUCUUGGAUGACCUCGGGGUAAGCUGAUAAAUAUAAAAAAUUCAUUUUAAGAUGAAUCCCGUACGUUGGCGGCUGUUUUAAACUGGGUGCUCGGCUCAGACCCUUUUGCCAGUAUGAAGCCGAUUUCAACGGUAACUGCAGAAAGCGUCAGCACGCUCAGCUCAUCACUGGAGUAACGUCUGUACAACGGGUGAGAUAAAACUCAACGCCUGACUGAAUCAUCCAUUCCCUUUUCGAUCCUACGCCAUACGUUAAACUUGAGGUAAUCUUGCUUUUGCUGUUCUAAAAUAAACACUGCUCUUAGCACACCACCCGUACAUGGCACACAAAACAGGUCUUGUGAGGGGGCUGUGCCCACACGUAGAAAUUCUGUAGGUCCACGGGCUUCUCCCCUUUCAGCGAACAUCACAGCGCUUAGUCCACCAUCGUGGUCUCCAAUCUCCAUUACCAACAGCCUGAGUGCUACACCUACAGACACCCCAACCCAUGCAGCAGCUGGCAGAAGUCAGACAUCAGGCCAAACUGGAUUUCAACACACCCCACCCUUACAUGGCACACAAGUAUAUGACACACAACACAGGUCUUCUCAGGAGGCUGUGCCUACAGCUGGGCAUAAAGCCUAUUGCUAAGGAGAUCCUCAUCCAGCUCGAUUUUAUUAGAGAGCAGCAGUUGCAGACUUCACCCCAGACCCAACACAUUUUGGGCUCCCACUUUCAACUAUUGAGGAGCUACAAUGUUUGUAGGAGACAUUAAAUAAUCCAGAUGAGAAGAAGAAUUUGGUGAGACUGUUUUUCCUGGAAUGGUCGGAGACAAGACUCUUAAAGACACCGUGGGGUGGGUCCUGAAAAAAACAAUAAACUCUUCGUGGCGAGACUCAUCAAUUGAAGUGGGGUCAACUGAAGCCUGCAUUCAAAGGGCUCACUUUGAAAAGUGUGGUUUUGGAUGCAGUCCGCCGGAAUGCCCUGACCAAAGAUAACACAGAAAAGGAGAUAGAGCUCCUCAUCACCAGGUGGUCGGUGCUAGCAUAUGACAGGGAUGGUGGCCGAAUCCAGACAAUAGACAGACAAUGAAUUAAAAUGUUUUAAAUUUAAAAAUGUUGAUUUUUGGAAAAUUCGUAUUUGAACUGAUUGUGUGUGUGUGUGUGCACCUGGUAAUUAUCACGUUGUGUCCCCACAAAGAUAGGAAUACUAGUAUUUUUGUGACCUUGUGUCCCCAUGAGGAAACAAGCUUAUAAAUCAAACAAAAUGAUGUUUCUUGUAAAUGUGAAGUAGGAGAAGGGUUUCUGUGAUGGUUGGGUUUAGGGAAUGGGGUAGGUAAGGGGAAUAAAAUAUACAGUUUGUAUGGUAUAAAAUGCAUUACGUCUAUGGAAUGUCCCCACAAAACAUGGAAACCUGUUUGUGUGUACGAGAGAGAGAGAAUGUGUGUUCAAGUGAAUAAAAAAUGCAUUAAACGUGAAAUCCUU